GGGAGGAUGGCCGAGUGGUUUAAGGCGCUGUGUUUAGGACAGAACCUCGUGGGUUCGAAUCCCACUCCUCUCA
rnacentral:tRNA from 1 species